rnacentral:sRNA from 1 species
GCUUUUUAUUGGGGGGCAAGGAUGAGAACCUCAGGUUCGACUAAAUCGCAGGAAGCGAUUUAGAUCAGCGCGCUUUAUGCGCUGACCCGCAGGGUGAGUCCCAGGGAAGGGGCGAAUAAUCCUUGUCCCCCAACCA